rnacentral:rRNA from 1 species
UAACACGUGGGUAACCUGCCUUAUAGUGGGGGAUAGCCUUUCGAAAGGAAGAUUAAUACCGCAUAAGAUUGUAGUAUCGCAUGAUAUAGCAAUUAAAGGAGCAAUUCGCUACAAGAUGGACCCGCGUCGCAUUAGCUAGUUGGUGAGGUAAUGGCUCACCAAGGCGACGAUGCGUAGCCGACCUGAGAGGGUGAUCGGCCACAUUGGGACUGAGACACGGCCCAGACUCCUACGGGAGGCAGCAUG